UCUUUAAUGGAGAGUUUGAUCCUGGCUCAGGACGAACGCUGGCGGCGUGCCUAAUACAUGCAAGUCGAGCGG
rnacentral:rRNA from 1 species